UGAUUUUGUUAGUCUUUUGUAUGGUUUUUCACGUCUCAGUUUCAUUCAGUUCAGCUCUGAUUUUGGUUAUUUCCUGCCUUUUGCUAGCUUGGGGUUGGUUUACUCUUUUCUCAACUUGAUCUGGUCUGCUGUUAAUACCUUCAGUUGUAUUAUGAAAUACUUGGAGUACGUUUUUCAGCUCAAUUAAGAUCAGUUUGGUUCUUCCUUAAAAUGGCCAUUUUGUCUUUCAGCUCCGGUAUCAUUUUAUUGUAAACCUUGGAUUCCUUGGAGUGGGUUUCAACUUUCUCCUGAAUCUUGAUGAUCUUCAUUCCUAUUCAUAUUCUGAAUUCUGUGUCUGUCACUUCAGCCAUUUCAACCUGGUUAAGAGCGAUUUAUGGGGAGCUAGUCAUUUGGAAGAGAGAAGACGCUCUGGCUUUUUGAGUUGCCAGAGUUUCUGUGCUGGUUCUUCCUCAUCUGUGUGGUCUGGUGUUCCUUUAACUGUGGUGUAAUUUGAGUAAAGUCAGUUGACUUCCUUUCUGGUUGUUUUCAGAGGGCUGAGGCUUUGCGCUGCAUCUUGAUUUGUGGUUGAAUUCUUGUCCUUGUUUUCUUGGGAGCAGUGUUUGUCAGCAGAGUAUUUUUGGUGUGGCAGUUUGGGCUGUUGUCCAAUAGAUGGGGGAUAAGCAUAAUGGAUGGUAGGUAGGCACUCGUUCAGCCACGUGGCUUCUCUGUGUUUCCUAGGGUUUGCAGUCAAACUGCCUCUCAGUUUUCUGAGUGUGGACUCCUCUCUCACUCAAAUGCUGGCUGCAGAUCUUGGAUUGGCACUCUCAGGCUGCACACCAUACCGCAGCUCUGGGGUGAGCUCAGGCUUUAUGUUCCCUCCCCAGCUUGGGGGCAGCAAGGACAGGGAUCUCAGCAGUGGCAGUGGCAGAGGACCUUUCACUUGUCCCUGGAGAUUCCGCCCCAGAGAAACACAGAGCCGCUACCAGUUGGAGCCAUCAGCCCAGGCUGGGGCGGCUGUGUUGUGGGCCCAAGCCAGGGCGCCCUGCUUAGUGAUGAGUAGGGGUGUGGGGUGCUUAUGGGGAAGACAGACUGGCUUCUUCUCCUUAGGGCGGCUGAGGCUUGCUCGAGGUGUGAGUAAAGCAUCAGGGUCUUUGUACCUUCCCCACUCCAAGGGCAAGAGGGGCAGAGUCAUUGCAGUAGCGGUGGCAGAGUGGCUUUCAUUUGCCUCUGAGAGCUCCACCCCAGAGAAACGUGCAGAGCCGCUGUCAAUGGGAUGUUCAGUCAGGGCGGCUGCAGCGUCCGCCCAAGCUGAAGGCCCUACUUGGGGGUUGGGGGCUCACAUGGAAGAGAGACUGAGUUCCCUGGCGUGCUGGUGGUUCAAGUGAAGCCCUCCUGCUCUUUGUUCCUUCCCCAGUCCCAGGACAGCAAGGGCAGAACGGCUGCAGUGGUGGUGGCAGAGGGGCUGUCAUUGCCUCUGGGAACUCCAUCCACCCCAGGGAAACACAGAGACACUACCAGUGGGAAUGCUUAGUCGGGAAUGGGGCAGCUGGUCUUCCAUCCCGAGGGGCUGGGGGAUCCUCUCCUUACGGUGGCUUCAGUGUGCCGGGGAUGUCAGCAAUGCAACCUGGCUCGUUUUCCUUUUCCAGCCUGCCUGCGGUAAGGGUGGGCCUGCUGCGGCUGCAAUGGGAGAGGGGCUGUGGGUUGUCUCUGCUAUUCUCCCCGCCCCCUCCCCAGAGAAAAGCAGAGCCUCCACUGACUAAAGUGAUCAGGCCGGGGAAGGGGGGUUGUGCUGGGAGCCCAGGUCAGGAGGCCCCGUGCAGUGAGGAGUAACGGGGGCAGGGACCCGCGUGGAAAACUGGCCGCCUUUUCCUAAGACAGCCUUGCGGUGCUGGGGGCCGGCGUUAGUCCUUAAUCACUUCGCUCCAGCUGAGCCUGAGAGAAGCAGGAGCGGGACUGUGGAGCAGCAAAACCUGCAGGCCAGCCUGUGCUCUCUGGGAUCACUGUCUCAGGCAAGGGCAGGGCUACCACUGGCCUGAGAGUACAGGCGGCACUGCGGUGGUCACGCCAGGCUCCCAGGCCAGUCGGCCUUGUCCAUCCAGGUGCAGUGGAGGCGAGGCCUGCGGCCUGUCGCUGCUCAGCCCUAGGGAUUCAGCCCCUUUCCUAGGGACGUGUGAGGGAGCCUGGCCUCCACUGUUGCUGGAGCUGCAGCCCCUGGUUGCUACCAGAGUUCCCAGGGGUCCAAGAUCCCCGGACUCUGCGUGUGUCUGAACAGCAGCUCUGCCCGGACUCCUCGUAGCUCUCCGUGUCAAUCAGGAGGCCCUGGCUGUGCCACGGGGUUCAUGGUGCAUCUCCUGAGCCCAGGGUUCAGAGGUCUGGAAGAAGUGUGGGACCCCGAGGGCUCUCCCUUACUCACCGUUUCCCGGCAGUGGGGAGCCUCCCCCUGAGUCUGUGCCAGUCCUGAGGAGGUGGCUGUCCUGUCUUGCUCUUCUCUGUUCUUUGUGGAUUGUGUUGCUUCCUUGAUUAACCCCAGUGUGUACGCCUGGCCCAUCCAGUUGAGGAGCUAGUGCUCACUUGUUCCUCUUUCUCUUUUCCAUGAGCGCAGUGCACACUGGCUGCUUGUACUCAGCCAUCUGGGGCCCCAAUCUCAGUAUUUUCAUUUCAUUAGACUACCUAGGAAAGAAAUGAGUAAAGUAGUUUUAGCCAUUGGACACUCACUAUGGUAGAUUUUGCAGGCAGAACAACCUUCUUGAUGGUUCCACAUAUGGCGAGCACAGACAUUAGAAGCCCUUAUCACAUUUUCUCACUAUUGAUAGACUCACACCUUUACUGGCACUGUAUUCUUUUAUUAGUUGACAUUGAUCAGUUAUUCCAGAAAAUAUGUUCAAUGUUGUAUUAACUGACCUUUGUUGACUCCAUGUGUCUAUGGAACUUUAUAUAUAUUUCAUAAUAUCUGACUUUAGAACUUGACGUAUUAACCAACUAUUGAAUCUGGAUUGUAUAAGUCAUUUUGUAUAACAUAGCCUUUGAAAUAUACACAACCAGGGUCAAGGCUCUUGUGUUCCUUGUCUCCUCUCUGUCUUUGUCUUUAUACCUGUGGACCAAAAAUUGCAUGGACCUGGUAUCCUGGAUCCUAUUGAUUAUGCUGAUUACAUCGACUAGUCUUUUAAUCAUUUAUACUUCUUAAUUGCUUCUGCAUCUGGCAGAAAACAUUAGAAGCAGGCAUUAAUAUUUUGUUAUACAAGUCACAGGAGGAAUUUAGUAGAAAUUCUUUGACUCUGUGUUUGUGAUAGAAGUGAGUAAAGGUAAUACUUUUUUUUUUUUAAAAUGUGUCUCCAAAUGCCAACAUCUGCUCAGGAAGAAAAAAAGGACAUUUGUCCCAAUGUUUGCAUUAUUUCCUAUAUAUAGAACUCUUUGGAUGAUUUUUAAUUUAAUAACUAUUUUUGAAAAGACUUAAUGCAUUUAACAUCUAAAUAAAGAAAAACAUAAUUUAUAUAACUAAACAAAGUUAGUGCUGUAUGCGUAAAUGCUAACAGAUUGUUCACCUAUAAGUACCUACAGCCUUCCUAAUUUAAGCGUGGGGCUACAUUCUGGAUUCACACAUUUUUUGCCCAAAGGUAAAUUAUUGUUAAAAGGUAAAGAGAAUAUCUAUUCAGCUGUUUUUGGGUGAGGAUAUGACGUAUUUUAGCUAUACAAGUAGUGUAAAUUUUAGUGUGUACAUUUUUACUUUAGAUGAAUUUAGAAAUUGAAGCCUGACCUAUACAGAUUACUUAAGUUAAAAAUGGUUUGCCAAAUUUAAACAUAGUAAUCUGAAGCAUGAUAGAUUAAAUGUAAAAUUCAAUAUCUGAAAUAUAUUUCCCUCGCUUUUUAAUAAAAAGGUAUCACCUUGGGGAAAAAUAUGUCUUUUCAAAUCAAAGUUUAGAUUAUACAUUGUAAUACAAAAUUUUACCUUAAAAGAAAUACAAUUCUUAAGUUCUAAAAUGAAAAAAGUAAGCAGUGAAACAACACUUACAUGUGUUAGUAUCCCUGUUAUUUCAGGAAGCAAAGUAAAAGAGGGUGUGAACAUUUCUACACAUCAACAUUCACAAAAGUAUCUUUGUAAUGUAGUGAGUAUAAGAAUGGCUUGAUAGGACUUCAGAACAAUGUAAAUCUCUGUGAUUUCUCCUGGGGAUUCUGACUCCUUAGUAUGCAGUAGGGCCCAACAAUCUGUAUUUUAAAUAAACAAAUCAUAUAAUACAGAGACAACUUCGAGACUCACUGAUAUGGGAAUGAUUUUUUAUUUUUCCAUGUAUGUGAGCUUUAAUUUUAAAAUCAAAUAUAUGUCUAAGUAUUGAUAUGAUUUAUUUUAGAAAUUGAUUUCUCUUAAUUACACGAAAGGAAGUUUUGUUGUUGUUUUGUUUUGCUUUUUGAUGAGUCAUGAUAGUUAUUUGGAAAUAAUUCCCAAUGUUAUAAAGAAAAACACAUAUUUUUCAAGUGACUGCUAUUUGUUUGCUACUUUGCUAAGCUACGGCAACCAAAAUGUUAAAAAUCCCUGCUUUCUGAGGGUGUUUAAUCUGGCUAGGUAAUUAAAGCAUCUAGAUCAAAAUGUUAAAGAGUCUAAAAGAUUAUAAGAUGGUAUAUUCUAAGACUCUCAAGACCCCACUGGUAAAUAGAGACCAUUAAAUUAGGAAUCAGAAAACAUGACUUUGGUUACUCUCUGUGCCUCUUAACAGUUCUCCGCUGUGUGUAAGUCUUUUAACAUUUGCACUGAAUCUACCUUGUAUCCAUUACAAUUAGUAUGAAAAUACUCCACUUUUACAAAUCACUAGCUUAUGGUGGGAUAUGUGUGCAAUAAUCUGUAUAAAAUAUCAUGUUAUAAAUAAUUUAGUAAAUAUAUGAUAUUAUGAUUAUUAAGGGUUUUAGGAGUUAAAGGCUAAAAUAUAUUAAAAUGCUAAGGUAAUAGAAGAAUGUAUCGGAAAAUUAGUGCAAAGAAAAGAUUCGAACGACUAGAAAAAUGGUGAGCACAGCUGGUUAUGAAAAAGUGUAACUCUGAGAUACUUUUGUGAAAAUUCUCAAAAUUAUUUGUAAUAUUAAAGCAGAAUUAGAGAGAUCUUCCACACACUAUAAUUUAAGGCAUUAUUUUAAUAGUCUAUAUGUUCUUUUUAUUGUCAGGGUUAUUCAUUACCUAUAUAUUUAUAUAUAAAACCUAAUUGUAAAUUAAUAGCAAUGAAAUGUUAUACAUGCAUAAGGGAAUGAAUUAUGGUUACUAAGGGAAACCUUAAUUUAAAUUUUCUUGUUUCAUUAUAUGAAAAUCUCAACUCUAACAAUUUAUUCAUAUAAAAUUUUAUUUUAAAUUCACACACAUUAAUUAUAUUGAAUUAAAUUGUAGAGAUCAUUACCUAGUCUUAUUUCUGCUAAUGUUUCUCCUUACUGCUUAUAAAGAAUUCUGCAUCUAAAAUUCAGUAUAUUAAUUAACCAAUGCUUAUCAAAUAGAUCUACAAGUAAAGCACCGCAUUAAAAGCUUUAUGCAAGGAAGCAAAAAUAAGGUAAAGCCCUAAUGUUUAAGGAGCAUAAAAUCUAGUUGUAGAGAUAAAAUAUGCACGGCAAGAUUUGUAUGGCAGUAGAAUCACUGUGUAACUAAUAUUAGCAAAGUUGACCAGAUAAAAGUUACAGCAGUUCAAAAGUGAAACAUGUCUUAUAAACUGGACUACCCUGAAAAAGUGGAAGGCUUGACUCACAGGUUCAAGAUAGGCUUUAUAUUGGCAGGGAGGGCAUUUCAACAUGGUGCAUUGGUAUGUGCAAAAUAGAGUGAUAGCAAUAUUGGAGUAAAUAGCACAGGGAUUCUUCUCAACUGGGCAUCAGAGCCUAUGGCUUAAUGAAGAAAUGAACUCCUUUUCUGUGUUAGUCGUUCUUCAAAUAUGGGGCAAUCUCUGUGCUUCUGGUCUUUGCACUGGUUCUCUAGUCCCCCUACCUGUGUCCCUGUAAUUAUUUGCUGACUCACUUUGUUUUUUUCGAUGUUGUUGUUGUUGUUGUUUUUGCUGCAAAUGACAAGAUUUCAUUCUCUAUUAUGUCUAACUAAUAUUUAACAGUGUGUAUAUACCACAUUUUAAAAAUUUAUGUAUCCAUUGAUGGGCGCUUAGGUGAAUCUCUGUUGUCUUUUGUGCCAUCCCUUUAGGAUCUACCAGUCUGUCUUCAUUUUUACUUAUUUGCUGGCAGAUGACAAGAAUUGAUUCCCCAGAUCAAAUUUCAGAAAUCUCCCAACAAGAAAAUAUCAUGUUAACGGUUUGAUGUAGUACCUCACACACACACACGUAUCUAUAUGCACACACCACAAAUAUCAUUGUUAACAGUUUGAUGUAGUACCAUACACACAUCUAUAUGCACAUACCACUUUUUUAAAUAAUAAAAUUCGGUUGUUACUUUUAACAAUUUUUUUUCCACAUAAUAAGCUUCCUCCUGGCAUGUUUAUUCUUUGCUUGUGAAUGAGGCUUCUCAAACUUUGGUUUCCUAAUCUGCAAAAUGGGGCCAGUAAUAGCUCACAAGUUUGUUUUAAGAAUUGAAUUGAAUGAGAUGACACUUGGAAAAAGCUUCAAGCACAGUCUCUGGGCCUCAGUACCUUCGCAUGAGUUAUUAUGUCUCUAAAUUUCCAAUUGCUGAGCUCUGACCUAUAUGGAUAUGUUCCAUGUCUUCCUCUUAGAUUCUUUUUGCAAGACAUUUGCCUGAGGAAUGACUAGAAGUUGCCAAACCCAUUUGUUCACUGAUUCAUACUCUCACGUAACCUCAGGCUGUCAUUUUCAGAUCAUACACACCCACAUACCACAUCUCUAUUCAUUCAUUUAUUAUAGGAACAGGGUUUUGCUAUGUUGCACAGGCUGAUCUCAAAAUCCUGGUCUCAAGCCAUCCUCCCUCCUUGGCCUCCCAAAUUUCUGGUGUUACAGGUGUGAGCCACUAUGUCUGGCCCACAUCUCUCUUUCUGAAUAAAAAAUUCCAAUUUUUUGAAUAUGUUUUCUAAGACACGGUAACAUCAUGGGUAUUGUGAGCAUGGACAUUGAAGUGAAUUGAAAGAUGAAGUCAUAAUUUAAAAUUCAGAACUGGGCAAUGACACAUAUGGAAAAAAAGACAUUCCAAGGAGGGCUUGUUUUUUGGGAAGUAGGAAAUAUGCGUAAUGGAAAUAUAAGGUUGGUUCUAGAUAUAUUUUACUUGCUAUUCCAUCAGGCCAUCACAGUGGAAACAUUAAGAAGACAUGUGAAAAUAAACCCAGAGCUCAGAGAAGAGGACUGCAGAAGGCAUGUCUGUAAUUUAGGAAUUACUUACACACAUUCCAUGGGACAAAUCAUGAUAAUGUAUGAAUUCUCAAAAUUUGAUAUGAAAAACAUGAUACAUCCUUGGAUAUUUCCAUAGUCAGUUGUAAGUAAUCUUGAAUUUGUGUCUGUUUUUACACUUGCUGCACAGUUUGGAUAUAGUACUCACUUUCCUCAUUGAGGACUUGGGAAAAAUCUAAGACUGUCCUCCUCUUUCAAGGAAAAAUAGUAUAGAACGUGACUGAACCAGGCACUGAGGCAUGAGUCACAGAAGGCCUAUGGAAUAUAAAGGAUUAAUAUUCAAUGAGUACUUACCAUGUGCUAUACACCCCUCUAUUAUUUCCAAUGUACUUGCUCAUUUAAUCCUAACGAAAAUUGUGUGAGUCAUGCUGUCAUUAGCGUCAUUUUACAGAUGAGGAUGCCGGAGCACAGGGAACUUCAUACACAUUCCAGGGUCCCUACGGUGAGUGGCAUGAGAUCCUGGCCGGCCUGACUCCAAAUCUGAGCUCUGAACCCUUACUGACUCUAAAACAGUAAAACUACAUGUGAAAUGUCUGUGUUAGGAAAAUGGAGAAGGAAAUCAACAAUCAAAGUAAAAUCAGUGUCCUGGGCAGUACAUUGCCUUAGAAGAAUAAAAGAACAUUUCCACUGAUAUGGUCCUUAGGGUAAUGAUUUUGUAUCCCAGGGAGAACAUUAGGCAAAAAAGCAAAAUUAGGAAUGUUAAGAGCAGUUUGCAUUCUAGAUAUCAGUGAAGCUGCCUAAGGAAAGACGAUUCGUUUUUCACAGAGUAUCUUUGUACUUUGAGUCAAAUGAAAUAAUUGACCACAGGGUUUAAAAAAAACUAUAGCAGUAGUUUAAUGAUAUUUUAAUGAUAAUAAUAAAUAUACUAAGAUAUAUUAAACACUGAAUAAUGUAGGCAGUUUAUCAGCUGGUUAUACAUACUGCAUGUUUCUUAACCAUACAUUGCAUACCUUAAGGGUAACAAACCUGUCUUAGGCUUUUCUUUGAUUUUGAUAAUGUCAGACAUAUUGCUCAUUCUAUAGUGGAUGCUCACUGACUUUGUUAAUUGAUUGACUAUUUGGAUAACAUAGUUCUUUUACUAUUUUUAAAGACUCUGUGAAUGGAAUAUAAUUUUAUUUUGCUUACAAAUACUUUGUAGUACAAAUAUUUUGUAUCUAAUACAAUGCUGCAAAUAUUAAGAAAGUCUUUCUAUGAUUCUUUGAGUUAUUCAUUCAUUCAUUUAUUCUUCCAUUCAUUCAACAUAUACUACAUGCACCAAAUCUCAUCUUCUGUCACCUAUGCAAGGAGAUCAGCGUGCAACUCUCUGCUGUCAUUGUUUCAUUUUCUUCUCUGCUCUGUUAUGUCUUUCUCACCAGCUGUUAUUUCUUACAUACAUAACAAGUAUUUUCUUAGCCCCACUUUCCCCUCCAGUUACUGCCCCAUAUCUUCAUUCCUCUUUUCAGCAGAACGCCUUGCCUGAGUUCUCUUAGCCAUGAUCAUCCAUUACCUUGCUGUCAGUUUCUAUUUGGUGCACGUCAAUCAGAUUUUGCCACACCGAUCUCUACAAAUUGCGAAUGUAAAGAAGCACUAACAACUGCAACACUGCCAAGUCUAAAUGUCACUUCUUGGUCCACAUCUUAAUUGCCCCAUCUGGAGCAUUUGACCUGGUUGUUUCAUCCUAUCUCACUGGUCAUUCCUGCUAGGUCUCCUUAAAAGAUUUUCCGCUUCUGACAUGUGGAUGUUGGAGCGCACCAGGGCUCCAUCCUUGGAACUCAUGACACUGGAAAUCUAACCAGUCUCGUGAAAGAACUAUCUCAACAUUUCAAAAGAAAAGAACUGUUUUAGGUCCAACUAAAACUGAAAGUAGAAGCUCUUUUAUAGGAGAAAAGAUUCCUCACUUGAUCUCAAAGAGAACUUUUGAAAAGAAGGAGGGUAUAGAGAGUAGCCUGUCUGAGAGAUGAGAAAUUUGAUAAAAGAGUGAUCUCAGGAAUCCACCCCAUACAUCAGCCUCAGUAUGGAAAUGAGCCUGAGCUGGCAGGAAAGGACAAGUGCAGCUUGGAAGGGAGAGUCUGCUCAAAUAACUGUGUCUCUUCAGACUUAGAUUUGUCAAAUAAAUCUUAGUAUAGUUUCUAGGCUCAUAAACUUGGCAAAACCAAACGUUCUACAAGUUUAUAUUUGUGUGUGUACGUGUGUGUGUGUGUGGAGAGAGAGAGAGAUGUAAUCUGUAGACAUAGGCAUGGUGAGGUAAAUAAAUUGACUAUAGCACAUAGAAUAGUUAUCACAUGAUGGGUAUUUGAUGAAUUGGCUCAUCUGUUCUAUAAAACAGGGGUCCUCAACUCCCAGGCUGUGGACCUGUACCAGUCCUUGGCCUGUUAGGAACCAGGCUGCACAGCAGGAGGUGAGCGAGCAUUACUGCCUGAGCUCUGCCUUCUGUCAGAUCAGCAUCAGCAUUAGGUUCUCAUAGGAGCACGAACACUAUUGUGAACUGUGCAUGUGAGGGAUCUAGGUUGAGUGUUCCUAUGAGACUCUAAUGCCUGAAGAUAUGAGGUGGAACAGUUUCAUCUCAAAAUCAUUGCCCGAACCACCACCACCACCCACCCCAUCUGUGGAAAAAUUGUUUUCCAUGAAAUCAGUCUCUGGUGCCAAAAAGAUUGGGGACCAAAGCUAUAAAAUAUGAAUUCCACUCAUUCUUAUAAUUUCUAAAUUGAACUUUCCAGAAUGCUCUGUUUAAGACAAACAACCCAAAAGCACUUUAAACUUCUACAGCUAAAUGCAAGAAUUAUUAUCCCUUUGAGCUACUCUAAACGUUAAUCUCUACUAAACACUAAUUCAUAGUUUAAUUACACCAGAUAGACAUUCUUUAAAACUUGACUACUUUGAGCUUAGUUUCAGAGUAAUGUAGAGAAUGCAAUGGAAAGAAUCAUUUAACUGGAAAAAAAAUUAUUUUUAUUUGGGAGCUGAUAAUGCUCCCUGUCUUUCUGCUUCUUCAGAUGCUUUGGCAAAGUGUUCAAAAUAUAUAGUAUAACGUAACUAGCUUAAUUUUAUCAAUUACCUUUAUUAAACUAAAUAUAAAGACUUAGGUCUUCAAAAAGUGCAUGGGUGGGAAAAUCCACCUGCUCACACAACUGUGGAUGGGGACUCUGCAUCCCUGGGUGGGUCCCAAGUUGUUUUGUUUAUUUUUUUUAAGAAUGUUCAUAUUAAUCCCUAAUAGCAAUUAUAUCAUCAUUACCAUUCUCUCUUCUGUCUCUCACUUUCUCUUUCCCUCUUUCUCCAUACUUUCUCCCUCCCUCUGUCCUUCUUCCACAUCUGUUUCUUUUAAACAUUACAUCGAUUCCCUCGCGAAUCUGAACUUACAUACUGAGAACUUCACAAAAAGAAAGGGAAAGUGAGAGUUCUCCCCAGAUCUGGUAGAAAAAUUCCAGGAACGACACAAAUUGAUCUGCUUAGGGGAGGAAUACCCUGGCCUGAACACAGUGGCAAGGUAUGUAUGAUGCCACCACAGUGGCCACAGUGGUGAAGCGCUGUGAAUAUAAGCUCUUACUGGAGCCUUGAGUUUGAGCAGGAAUGAAUAUUUCUAGUCAACUUCAUUCAACUCCCUAGUCCCUCAAUUGCUUAAUUUUUUUUUUUUUUUUUUUUUUUGUCUAUCAUGCCCACCGGAACCCUUCACACCCUUCACAGUGUGGGGUCCAUAUUUGAUCGUCACAACUACAUUUUGACCACAAUCUAUGAUGCCAUCAACAUGGCAUUGGUAACAACAUCUACUUUUCACAUUCUUACACCCAGACACAGGAAUCCAUCUGGAGAAAAUCAUGCAGUUAUGCACUUGGGAACCAUUACACCUUCAUUGUCUCUAGUUUCAGCCAGACAUUUGUCAAUGCUCCCCAAGCUUCUCAUUGUCAUUUGUCAGCUCAUGCACUCCCUCUGCCUACUGCUACCUCAAACCUUCCCCAGUCUUCUGAAAUUCAGAUCUCUUGGCCUUGGCAGAUGAUAUUUUCCUUCAUUUAUUGAAAACAUUUCAAGCAUCUGGCAUAGGGCUCCUACCUCACUUGACAGCCCUCUGUCCCCAAUAAUAUUUACAAAUAUAUGCCUGUCUGUGCUUUUCUUAUCUAUUUCCUUUUAGAUUCAGAGGACAAAAUCUCCUUCAAAGCCAAGUCAGUCACUCAAACUAUUAACACAUGCCUCAUCUACUAACUCCAACUUAGCCCUGUCCAUCCCCGUUUUUUCUGGUGUCAUGAGCUGCUCCCUGUUCUAAGAACAUUUUCUCCUCUAAACAAUAACUCUGCAAUAUGUAAAAACAGAACUACCACUCCCUGGCAGGUACCUGCAUAUACUCACACACCUUACACACACAUAAAGCUCCCCUUGGACCAUGCUUCUCACUUUAGGGUCCCUGCUGGUUACUUUCAUGGAAUUUUUUGGAAAAGCAAUUUUCAUUCACUGUCUCUAACCCUUCAACCUGAAUCCCUGCUCAACCUGUUACCUUCUGGCUUAUACGCUUAGUCCACACAAUUAUUUUAGUAAGGUUUUAACCUAUUUGUCAAAUGCAUGGGCAAUUUCAGUUGUUUUGCUAGACUUCCUUUUAACGUUUAUCUCUGUUAGCCAAUCUUGUCUUCAAACCCCCGUUCCCAUGGCUUCUGUGACACCACACUCUCCACUAGCACCUCUACCUAUUCUUUUCUGUCUUUUUAAGACCUCUCAUUUCUUUUGCCCUUAAAAUAUUAUUGCUCUAUAUUUUUGUGAUUCUAUUACUGUCAUAUUGAUCUUCUCAACCAUCGUACUGUGUCUGAAAUCAGACUGGUACUGUAAUAUCUUGGGUGUUUCCACAUGGAUGCCUUCCUCCAUAGUCAAUGGAAUUUCCAAAAUUGAACCUAUCAUCUUCUUUUUUUUUCUAAACUGAUAACAUCUUCUAUUUUUCUCUUUUUCAGUUAUGGUACUAAUAGCUACAUGAAAUUCCUGGUAGUAUUAAUUAUAGUACCUAGUUGACAUUUAUUGAGUUCAUAGUAGUAUGUGCCGAGCACUAUGCUAGGUACUUUACAUGAAAUAUCUCAACUAAUCUUAACAGUCCUGUACAGCACACAGCACUCUACUACAAUUAUGUAGUUUUGGAACUAAGAUUUAAGUGUGUUUAAUAAUUUGCCAAAAGUCACUUAGGAAGUGUGGAGGUGGGGUGCUCAUUUUGGAGACAUGCUGAACAACUAUGGCAGACAAUCUGAGCAUCAUCUUUGACUUCUCUCUCUCUCUCCAUUCCAAAUAGCACCACAUCUUGUCAUUUUACUCCCCAUAUAUUAUAGUUGCAACUAUAUCCUUAACCUUCUCUGAACUGUACUUCUCAAAUAUAUCUUUCCAGCAGUUUCCAGUAAUUAGAUAAUAAAAUUUCCAAACACACAAAUCUGGGGGCAUUUCCACAUGCUCAAGAUAUCUUGAUGUUUCCAUGGCUUAUCAGAUAAAUCUCACCUUCCUAAAUAUAAUUUUCAUGGUCCUGUUGAUUAAACCUUGGUACACAUACAUCUCCAGCCUCAUUCUCCAUGGCUUCUUUUGUCUGGAUUUCCAUUUUUCUUUAGUAAUGCAGACUGCUUGUGGCUCCCCUUAUAGGCCAUUCUAUCACUCAGUUCUGUGCCUUUGUUCUUGCUGUCAUGUCUGCUUGGAAGACUUCAUUCCAGCCUCUUCCCACUGAAUGCAAAUACCUGUCUCUGUCCCCUGCCGGUCAAUUACUUGUUGAGUACUUUCUCGUUCUGAUACCUCACUGCCUCUAGUAAGCCUUUUCUUGACUUCCAGAACAAAAUAAAAGACUCUUUUCUUUAUUUCAUCACUAACAUUUUCAUAUUUCCAUUUUUAAAAACUUGCAGCUUUGUUUUAUAAUUAUCUAUUUCUAUCUAGACAGGACCUCUUGAAGUCAGGCUCUACAUUCUCUUUAUAUUCUUAUUGCCAGGCACCAGAGCACCCUGUUUGCUAAGGGAAUUUUUAAAUUUAUCUUCAAGUAAUAAGUGAACUUUGAGUCAGAUCUUGAUUAAUGUGUUUAGAAAUAGGUGGAAUAAAGAAGAUGAAACAUAUUAGAGCUUAUGCUUGACUAUCGUUGGUAUUAUAUUAUUUGAAUAUUAGAUCUAACUUUGCAUUAAUACUAUAUGUUUUUACACUGUGCAUUUUAUCAUAUCUUUUAUGAACCACUCAUAUAUUUAGAAGAUGAAACAAUGGAUUAGGUAUGGAAACAAAAUUGUGUCAUAAAAUUAGUUAAUUUUGUGAUUAAUUAUAAAGUACUUUAAAAACAGCAAUGGGUGGGAUGGCGUCUGUGGUUGGCAAUAGACAUGCUGUGGAUAAUUUAUUAUUAAAGGCCUUUAAAAUUUUAAAAACCCAAUUAAAAAAAACUUAUAAUUGAAGAGUAGGGAAUUCUUCUUUAAAAAGCAGCAAUAAGAUUAAGCCACAUUAUGCAACCUCUGGGCAAAUGCUGAUCUCAUAAUAAUAAAGUAUUUGCCUAUUUUUUGUGUGAGUUAAAUACCAUUGAAACCGCUGAACUUGAUAACACCUCAGGCUAUCAUCAUGUUAGGUUUCUAUAUAUAAUAAAGAGUGGGAGACAUAUAGGGGGGAAACCGCAGAAAUGAGAAAACAAUUUAGAAUGGUUUUUUAAAAAAUUGUUUUUGUUUUUUUCCUGAGACCAUUAACCUGUCAAUGGCACUAUCAUAUGAAUUAGUUUAUUCCUAACUAGAUGAUGUUCUUAGGACUAAUUGUCACUCAUUUCUAAGCCUGCCCAAUUUUACACCCACAUUAGAUAGUACAGUCAAAGGCGCUUAGAUCAUAUGAAAUACACUUCCCAAAGAAAUAUAUCCUCCAGCUUUUGCACACGGGCUUUCUUGUGAAUUCCUGAAUUAAAUGAUGAUAGCUUCCAAAUAUCACCUUGUUCGUAUCUCCUUUCUAAAAUAACAACUAAAGAUUGCUCUUCUAUGUUAAAACUAACUGUUAAAAUAGUUUUCUGCUGUGCAGUUAUACAGAGAUUGGGUAAAAAAAAUUGGCUUAAGAAAAAAAGAUGGGAAAGCAGAAGUAUAGAGCAGUACAGGAAAAUCAUCACCCUUCAAAUGACCAUAUGUGUUUUUAUUUGAAGAUAAAAUAUGUUUCUUGAUAUACAGAUUUUACAGCCAAAUUAAUUAAAUUCUGAUAUGUUAUUCUGCAUUUGAGUUUUUGUUAUGAUUUAUCUACCAUUAUUCGUUAUGACAUUUAAUAGAUACUUUUAAAUAGCUUUUCUCUGUUGACAUUCUUGUUUGUUGAUUACCUGGAGGAAUAUUUUAUAAUUUAUAUAAUUUUUAAAAUUGCAAAAUUCUUAAAAUUGGUAAAGUUGAACUGAUUGGAUGAUUGUAAAAUGUCUCUAUGCAUUUCUAAUAGUUCUUUUGGCAUUGUUAAUAGUUUUAUUUUGUCUGAUGAACCUUACCAGUAAAAGAAAAUGUUAAGGAAGAUAUUUCAAACUGCUUUGAUUGGUGGGAUAAAAUAUCCUGAUGCAGUGGGAAGAAGAACUCUUUGAGGGAAUAAACAGUUUGGAGGAGAAUGUGCUGUUACUUCCAGAAAAAAACCUAUUUUCCCUGGAAAAAAAUAAAAUCCAUAGAAAGUGCCCUUGGAGGCAUGGCAAAUGAAUGAAGACUUGGUUAUGUUAAAGCAGCUUCAUUCUGAGAUGGAAAAAGUGACUCUUUCAAUCUUAAUUCUCUGGUUAGAGUCUAAUAGAAUUUUUGGUCUUGUCUCUGUGCCUAUUCUGAGGCCCUUAGAGUCCUUAAAAGGUGAAUGAAUUAAAAAAUAUGAAGGAUGUUUGUCCAUUAAAUGCCAUAAUGUCUCUAUUAUUUACCUAUUUCUUUGUAACAAUAGGAAACUUGUUGAUGGUAGAAGUUGUUCAGCACUCAUACACACAUCGUUUUCUGCAUUACUCUAAUUGUUUACUUUGCAAUUUAAAUGCUAGCAGGGAACACCAAACAUUUUGCUAAAUUCCCCAUUGCUGAAAUGAAGUUUAAUAGCCAAAAAAUUGCUAUUGUAUGUAUUGCUAUUGUGUGUGUGUAUAUAUAUAUAUGUGUGUGUGCAUGUGUGUGUAUAUACACAUACAUAUACCUAUAUUUCCAAAUUUGUUGUGUAAGUAUAUUUCUUCGACUAGCAAAUUUCAGAUUACAGGUACUAAUGAGAGUCAGAUCAAACAAAUUUAAAAUGUAUUGGCAAAAUUCAUUUAAGCUUUUAUAAUAAAACUUAAUUAAAUCAUGUUUUAUUAAUUUACUAUUUGUAGUAAUUUAUUAGUGCUAAAAUGAGGUUCACUUUUGUAUAAGAAAAAUAAAUAAUUUUACUAACAUGAUAGAAUAGAAAUACAAAACACAUAUUCAAAGAAAAAACGACAGAGCUAGAUUCCAUCCCCCCCCCAAAAAAAAAAAAAAACACAUUUGAAGGCAAAAAUCACAUUGCAGGAAUUAAUUCACAAUUUAUAGACAAAAGUACUAUGCUAAUUAAAAUGUAUAUAUUAGAUUUUACUUUACUAGGCAACAUAUUAUGAUUUAUAUUAUUUCAAAUGUUAUUUUUAAUGCCUUAAUGUUAUUUUCAAUAAUACUUAUAUUUAUUUAAAAUAUUAUAUAAUUUCAUCUGUUUCUCUCAGAUUAAUCUCUCUCAGUUAGUAGAGAAUUGACUAAUGUUGUCUUUACUUCUCAUCAAACUUUUAUGAGAUCUGAAAGAAAUGAUGCAUGCGUUAUUAUUAUUUUCACAUUUUUGCUACCCUUUUUAAUUUUGGAGAUAUAAGCAGAAAGAAUUAUCAAAUAGACAACAAGAUAAAGGGAAAAUAAUGAUUUGAAGUAUUAUUGUAAAAUCAAUUCCAGAAUAAUUAGGUUCUGUUGCAGCUGAUGCAAAAUUUUACUGAAAUCGUGUUCAUAUCUAUCAUCUAGGAAGUGCUAAAUAUCUGUAACCACUUGAUUACUUUGAGGGAAAUUAAAUUUUCCAUCAACAUAUCCCCUAAUACUACUACUCCUGUCCAGAUGAUGAAAGGAUCAACAGGAAUCCUCAAUACGUAGAUCUUCAUUUUAUCUUCCUUGGAGCUCUUGUGGUUUAAAGGACCCCAACUUUUGCUACCCAUUUUCUUUCUUAUCCUUCCUCAGUCUCUGAGCUUGUUGUAUUUGGCUACAUACUGACCAAGUUAUCUGCAUGUCUCAAAGACAUCUCAACAAAACCUGCAUUUAUGUAUGCACUUAUUUAUUGUUAAAGUGCAUCAUCUUUCUGGAGACAAACUAACUUCCCCUCCAAACUUUCCUCUUGCUGUAUUGAGUGAAGUUUGCUGCUGGUGGGAAUGCCACAGGGAUGCAAACAACACAAGAGUUCAUAGCCCUGCCCCACUCACAGGAGUCUCGCUGUCCAGCCUUAGAGCUUUUCCAGAUCUGUCUUCUAAGCCUAGGAGAAUUCCUUGGAAUUUCCAGUCUUAGUUCAUGAAAUAAUCUCUGAACUGAUUUCCCAGGUUCAAAGUUUGAUCCCCUCUAUCCCAUAUUUCAUGAUUCAAAAGCCAUCGAAGUUUUAAAUCAAAGAUAAAUUACACUCCCUCAUUUUCUGUCCCUAUGAUUUAGCCCAAUCUAUUUAUUUUAUCAUCCUUUCUUUCUUAAAACUGUUGCUGUCAAAUCAACUCUAUUACCAUUUCACAAACACGCUAGGCUUUUAGUCACCAUGUUAUCUGAUUCUGUUGCAGUGGUCUUAUUCCUCUUCACUACCUGGACAAUUCACCCAGCUUUUAACUCCCCCUGAAGUUCUACUUACUCUUCGACAACUUUGUGCCUUUGGUGAUCAUUUACCUUUAUCUUUCCUGUGGUUUUACAACACAUUAGGAGCCUCUUCCCCACUCCUUCCCACCAUAGCCAGUCUUAGUGAUUUGUCUGCAUUCUGUUGCUUGCUCGGUUCAGAUGGAUAAAAUCUUACUGAUUUUCAUUUCUGUGAUGACAAACUGAAGACUUCCUAUUAGGCCUCACAGGGGUCUUUUCUGCGUGACCUCCUCUUGCUGCAGUAUCAGUAUCUCCCAGCCGUACUCUGUACAGCCAUAUUCUAGUCAGGCUAAAAUCUUAACAACCCCACAACGAUUCUCGGUUUCUUCAAGCUCCUAGGAAUUUGCAUAUGCUGAUUCUUCCACCUGGAACACUCUUUUCUCACAACCCCAAUAUCCUCACCACCAUCUAGUGUAUACUUUAAAUAGCCGAGACUUAGACUAUGACUUCACUCAUACAGCCCUUGCUUAUCAGGCACACAGGGGCAGGGACAUCUCCUGUACUCUCAUAGUACCCUGUAAUUGUCCUCUCUGAGUGCUCACCAUUGUGAUGUAACUGUUUUUUAUCCCUCCUCUUAAAUGUGUAGUGAUAAGGGUAUUAUGUCAAUCCUAACAACAUUUUAUUCCCAGCAUGUUUUUUGAAACCACGGAAAUUAAAGUGUAGGGUUUUUUUUUUCCCAUAUGUAGAUUUCAAGUUUUCUGUGGACCUAAAUCAUGUCUUUUAAUGAUAUUGUAUUUCAUAAACUUUCUAAAAAUGUGCUGAGUAGAUGUGCUGUUUACUUUCAUGGAAGAAUGUGGUAAUAAUUAAAUAUUUAUUCUGAAAUGCUUUUUUUACAUUCAUGGUAUUUGAACAAAACAUAUUCUUAUAAUUCUAAUGGAUACAUUUAUUUGCAGUUAAAAAUAUCAUUUAAGAAUACAAAAAAUAAAGCUUAAGAGAACAAAUGUUCAUGGUUUUCAACUUUAACAUAUGAAACAUUUUGAGAAAAACACAUUAUUAUCAACUGUAUGUAUGUACAUCUAUAUGACAUUUUUCAUACUUUCCACAAAAUUUUCAUGAAGUAUUUAUAUAGGCUUCUCUUUAAUCUUACAUUGUUUAGAAGCAUGUCUGCAUUUAGUUUAAAAUUCAUAUCUUAAAUGUCUUAGGACCUAAAUAAUGACUUAGCUUUUCAGAAAAAUCUUAGAUGGUAUAGUGAUCAUUCAGCCUUUGUUAACCUGAUUUUUAAUUUAGGUUCUACUCCAAGUUAACCUUAUGCCCUUGGAAAAGUUCAUAUGGCUUUCCUCACUUUCAUUCUUGUCAUUUGUAAUAUAUGGGUAAUAGGCUGUAUUAUUUUUAAAAUCUUUUUCAACUUCUAAAGUCCAUGAUUAUUUUAUUCAAAAGCUAGGUAUGAACUCACACAUCAGAUUUAAGUCUACACUUUAAAUUUCCCCCCUUUUCUGUUUCCAUUGUUGAAAUUAGAACAGUCAUAAAGCUCAUCACUAAACUGAACACAAAUUUAUUUCUUAAGACAAUUCAAAAUACAAGGAGGCUCUGACUGCUAUUUCACUGUAAUUCAAAUUAUUUAGCUAUUAUAGAUAAUGGAAAGGUUGACAUAAACUAGGCAAAGAGAAAAAAUAUGGUUGAAAGUCACAUAUUCCAUGUCCUCUUUUGUAAUAUACGGGGAUUUUGAUUCAAGAAACAGAAAUAAGGUACUUAAUGUACACUUCGUGUUAAAGGAGUUUAUUAUGAAAUAUGUUGGAUUUUAAUAGGAGAAUGCAUUGUAGUAAUACAUCAGUUUAGCAAAUAUGUAUGGACUUUAAAUGGGUUCGAACAUCCGUUUCUUUUCUAUCUUGAAAAUGUUUUGUUUGUCAUGAUUUAGAUUUCUCUUCAGCACACGUUAAUUGAUAUGUGCCAUGCGAAUAUUACGUUGUCAUAAUUUAGAUUUCUAUUUGGCACACAUUAAUUGGGUGCAUCAUAUGUGUGAUGCAGCCACUGCCAUGCACUGUGGGAAACAUGCAUAAUUCAAUGGUGCAUAAACAGACAUGGCUGUUGACAGAAUGGUUGGAGGCCACAGGGUCACCAAAACAGGCUCUGUGUGCAUGUCCAGCGUGUGCUCCAGGAAAUAGUUUGUGGCCGAAGUGGCUCUUACACAUUUGAAGUGGGUAAGAUUUAUGGAAGGAUACUUUACCUCCUGAUAUGGUUUGGCUGUGUCCCCACCCAAAUCUCAGCUUGAAUUGGAUCUCCUAGAAUUCCCACGUGUUGUGAGAGGGACCCAGGGGGAGGUAAAUGAAUCAUGUGGGCCGGUCUUUCCCAUGCCAUUCUCGUGGUAGUGAAUAAGUCUCAUGAGAUCUGAUGGGUUUAUCGGGGUUUCUGCUUUUGCUUCGUCCUCAUUUUUCUCUUGCCGCUGCCAUGUAAGAAGUGGCUUUCACCUCCCACCAUGAUUCUGAGGCCUCCCCAGCCAUGUGGAACUAUAAGUCCAAUUAAACUUCUUUUUGUUCCCAGUUUCAGGUAUGUCUUUAUCACCAGCAUGAAAACGAACUAAUUCACCUCCCUUCAGAAAUAUUUCAGCCCAAAAUACUUUGAGGAAAGGCUAGACAUAGUGGCUCACACCAGGCCAGGAGUUCAAGACUAGCCUGGGUAACACAGUGAGACCCUGUCUCUAGAAAAUUAAAUGAAAGAAUUAGCCAGGUGUGGUGGUGGUGCAUGUCUGUAGUCCCAGCUACACAGGAGACUGAAGUUGGAGGAUUGUUUGAGCCCAGGAGGUUGAAGAUACAGUGAGCUAUGAUCGCAACACUGCACUCCAGCCUAGGCAACAGAGUGAGACCUCAUCUGUAAAAGAAAAAAGAAAAAAAAAAAAAACAUAAGGUUUCUCCCAUGCUACCUAUCUGCCUUAGGAGACCUGGGUGAAAUAAUUUCAUUUUUUAAACUCAUCGUUGUCAACUACACCUAAAAUCCAACUUGGUGUAGUGACUGGUCAUCACAAGUGGAUCUAAUCACCUGUAUAUACUAAUUCUUUGUUUUAUAAAAAUUGUUCUUACUUGCUCUGUCAAGGGCACCCUGCCUAAACAAUUCCCUCUAAGUUUGAAUCUUAGGAGGGAGAAAUGUGGGAAUUUGAAGCUUUCCUUCUGGAUAGGCCCAUGGACUUGUUAAGCACAUUCCUUCAUCUCCUUCCUAGCAGCAUUUAACCUCUAGAUAUCAGUAGUUUUAGUGAAAAAAAAAAAAAAAAAAAAGGAAAAGAGAGUUCAUUAUGAGCCAGUUGGUUACAUGAGCUUCCACUUCCCAUUAUACAAAUAUUUCCUUUGCUUUUGAUUCUCUUUAUUCAAGCUUUGUCCUGGUUGAAUAACAGAUAUUUUGCUGGAGAAAAUGGAAUAUGUUACUUACAUGAAUUAUGACAUUUUUUCUUAUGGUAAGAAGUGAAGGAGCUAGGAGGCAGAAGAGUGGAAGAAAGGAAAGAAAUGACAGGGCAAGGAAAAAUAAAAGAUAAAAUGCCCAAAUGCAUACAUAAAUAAAAAGGCCAGGAAGGGUACUGCACUUAAUGUUCAUAUUAACUGAAGGGUAAAGUAGGGAAGAGUCUUCUCCACUGUUCAUCUACCCCACAUACUAACAAGAGGGAGUUUCCAGCAAAUAGCUGGCAGCAUGUUCAGUACUUUGACUAACGUCUGGAGACAGUUCCAUAAAGCAGUUUUCCCUUUUCAGAAACACCAAUGCACUGAGAUUAAAUGAGAGAUAUUGCAGCUUUCACUCUUGUUCUGCCAACCGCAGGCUUGACCUUGAUGCCUUUGCAAUCAUCUCUACAGCCACAGAGUGGGAAACGAUACCUGGGGUAUGCUCUCUCAUUGACUCCAAGAGCUUCCAAACACAAAUUUUACACAGGUAGUUUAAAUGUAAUGAUGAAUGCUUCAGUCAAUAGAUCAUAAUUUCAUAGUAGUUGAUCUGUUUUACUUUAUAUUUAAAGAAAAUAAAUAACUUUGGGGCCAACCCCUAGCUUGUAUUCAGGGAAGGAUACAGCACAAAGGAAUAAAAGAAUUUAGUGUUGUGAAAGAUUUUCUGUCAAACAAAAAGAUAUUUCUAAAAUUAGUAAUUUUCAGAGUAGAGUGUUUUAAUAAAAAUAUAAACACAAAUCAAAAUUUAAUUGUUUCUUUAUACUCUUUCCAAAAUAUGAGCAAUAUUUCAUGCUCUGAGGGUAAAUAUUUCAUUUUAACUAUAGCUGACUUGCCAAAUAUUCAGAAACCUUAUUCCUGUUCUAUGAAAGAUCUCAAAGUUAAAUUAGUUCACGUCACUUUUACAGACUAUAACUUAAACCUUUAAAACACAUUUUUUUCCUCAGCCUGAUUAUAGCAUAUUUUCUUCUCAACUUAAUUUUAAAUGACAUAUUCCAUUGUAAACUAGCUACAAUUAAGGACAAAAAUAUUUUAAGUAACUAACUGAUAUAUAUAUGUUUUUGUUUUAAUAAGCCCAAAUCAAUCAAGGUGUUUAACUCACUUAUAUUUCUACUAAGGUAUCACUAGUAUCACUAGGAUAUAUGGGUACAUUGAAGAUAUGGUAGUACAUAAAAAUUUUUAAAACUAAAAAAAAAUUUAGUGAAAAAUGUUUAUCUCCUAUUUGUAUAAAAAGUGUUUUUCCAGUAUUUUUUAAAUCCAAAUGUUCAAAUUAAGAUAAUGUGAACAAUGAAUAAAAUGGACAAAAAAUAUUAUCUGUUUUUCCUAGGCCCAAUGAAAUAUUUUUUAUUUGAAAUUUUAGCAUUUUUUAACUAGGUUUAUAAACUAGUAAGAAACACACACAAGACAAAACAGAGCAGGAUUUGUGGUCACAGCAUCUUUUCUUCUACAAAUAUUUAAUUAUUCUUAAAAUAAGGGAACCACAUUCUUUCAGAGUAAUUAUAGACUUGUAAAAGUAAUGUAAUGUAACUUGUAAUGUAACCAAUAUCUGAGAGUAUUUUCCAUCAGAUAGAAAGUAGAGAUUCUCUUAAGAAAGUUACAAAAAAAGGUUCUAAGAUUUCAGAGGAGGUAAAUUAUUGAGUUUUACAGCCUGAUACAAUUUUAGAGCUAAUCAGCUAAUCUUAUCUUUUAUUUUAUAUUUUACAAAAUGUAGGUCAAAAAGUAAUUUUUUUUCAAAAAAGUGUUGACUGUAUGAAAAUUUUACUAAUUUGUUUUAAUGAGAAGAAAGAAUGAGAGAAGUAUCCUGCAAUAGUAGGAAAUCUGAGAUGGGAAGACCAGGCUUAGACCUUAACAGAGUGUGUCACAAAAAUCACCUCAGUUGACCUCAGUUUUCACAUCUAUCCAAUAAGAGUUUGUAUUACAUUAUUUGGAAUAUAACUUCAAGUUCAUAAUUUUCAUGAUUAUAUAAAAACCAUUACAAAUAAAUAAAAUAUCUGCUAUGAUUACAUGAAAAUUCUAAUUUGAAAAGAAAUGCAUGGUUUUUUAUUUUUUGGUUGCUAUUAUUAAGCAGAAUGUGUUUCAAAGUAGAUGUACUCAACCCAAAUUUAUUUAUAAUUAGUAGCUUCAGCUGGCAUAUAGCAAUUAAUGUGUUUUUUCCAAAGGGUUUAACAUUCCUCCUGUUAUAUACUGCAAGCAACUUAUUUGUUUAUUAUAUUAUUAAAGCAGCCUUUAGGCCGAAGCGUGGUAAAUGAUCACAAAUCUCAAAUUUAAUGAAGUCGAAAUUGGUGACAUUUUAUUUCAUUUUUCUCAGAUCAUCAUAUGAUAAAAAUCACACUGCAUUUUACAAUAUCUGGAGGACAUGAUAAACUAGAGUAGCUAUUCAAAUAAAAUCCGUACUCUGUGGCUAAAGCUGGAAGGCUGAGAGUUAUAGUAAAGAUCACAAAUUCAUUAAUGAGGGCUCUCUUUAUAAUUGAAUUAUCUAGUCUGCCAUUUGUUUUUUGCAAUACAUUACUCAAUCAGUGACCAUUUAUUAAGGGCAUAAUAUUUUCCAGAUACCAAGCUAGGAAAAUGGAAGGGGCUGACGUGUGAAGUAGAUUACAAAAACAGGAACUUGGAAUGAAGGUGAAAGUGAUAGCUCAGCUAUUAGAAUGAGAAUGUGCUGGAUGGUCAGUGUGAGGUGGAGAAAGGGAAUACCUUUAGAACGGUGUGCUUUUAUCAAAGUCAAAACAGAAUAGUAACAUGAUUUACCUAGUACUGAGCCUUUUAGCCUUUAUCCUGGAGCAAGAAAGUAAAAAUAAAAUGGAGAGACCAGUGGAUGCUCACUGGAUUAUUCCCAAUAUUUAUCAAUAAGAACUUUCACAUAUAUUAUUUUAUUUGGUCCAUAAUAUAAAAAUCUACUUAUAUUUUGUUUCUCUUCCACGUAUUUGCAACAGAGAUUUCAGUUUGAGUCUGUAUUAGACUGUGCUACAUCUGGAAAUGUCUAAUAAACAAGUAGGAUGGGCCAGGAAGAAAACUGUGUUGCAUGAAUACUGAUUUAUUUAUCACUGGAUAAGUCAUCCUGCAGGAAUAAAGUCCCAGGCAUAAACAUCUUGGCUCAGAGAGGAAGUCUUAGUUUUCAGAGGGAGGCAGAAUUCUGAAUGCAGUAUAGUUACUGAAAAUUGCAUUUAUUUCCUGGUGAAACUACCAUUGGACCUGAAAUUCACAGAGAAUAAGAGAACGACUUGAAUGAAGUGAUCAUGUAAACUAGAGAAAGGAGAUUAAAAAUAACCUCUGGA